AGAGUUUGAUCCUGGCUCAGAUUGAACGCUGGCGGCAUGCCGUAACACAUGCAAGUCGAGCGACAGCAGGCCCUUCGGGGUGCUGGCGAGCGGCGGACGGGUGAGUAACGCGUGGGAAUCUACCCUUUGGUGAGGGAUAGCCCGGGGAAACUCGGAUUAAUAUCGCAUAAGCCCUACGGGGGAAAGCGGGCCUCUGAUUCAAGCUCGCGCCGAAGGAUGAGCCCGCGUCCGAUUAGCUAGUUGGUGGGGUAAAGGCCUACCAAGGCAACGAUCGGUAGCUGGUCUUAGCGGACGAUCAGCCACAUUGGGACUGAGACACGGCCCAAACUCCUACGGGAGGCAGC
rnacentral:rRNA from 1 species